rnacentral:tRNA from 1 species
UUCUGAUGGCUCAGAAGUUAAAGCGUCUGCCUGCAAUGCAGGAGACCUGGGUUCAAUCCCUGGGUCGGGAA